rnacentral:tRNA from 1 species
GUGGUUGUGGCUCAGUGGUAGAGUGUUUGCCUUGUACAUGUGAGGCACUGGGUUCGAUUCUCAGCACCACA